GAUCGGUGUCUGGUGACUCUUGGUAAUUGGUGCUGCGCGGCGAAGGAGUGGACUGUGAGAGGCCGCCAGAUCCCACCCUUGGACCCCCAUGAAAAUGGAAACAAUGGAACAAUCAAAGUUGAGAAGCCAACCAUGCAAGCCAGCCGCCGGUGCUGUUGACCCAAGGGCCGUGGUCCACGGUACUUGAAGAAGCCAGAGCCCACAUCCUGUGCACUGCUGAAGGACCCUACGCUCGGUGGCCUGGCACCUCACUUUGAGAAGAGUGAGCACACUGGCUUUGCAUCCUGGAAGACCUGCAGGGGGCGGGGCAGGAAAUGUACCUGAAAAGGAUUUUAGAAAACC
rnacentral:lncRNA from 10 species